rnacentral:pre_miRNA from 1 species
AAUAUAUGUCGCCGUUGACUUUUAACCGCAUGUUUGACCAUUCGUCUUAUUCAAAAAAUUUAUGUAAAUAUUAUUUAUUUUGUUAUGAAUUGAUUUAUUACUAUAUAUAUUUUAAACAUGACUUGCAUUUUUAUAUAUUUGCAUAAUUUUUUUAAUAAGACGAAUGGUCAAACAUGUGAUAAAAAGUCAACGGCGACAUAUAUU